rnacentral:rRNA from 1 species
GAUGAACGCUGGCGGCGUGCCUAAUACAUGCAAGUCGAGCGAAUGGAUUGAGAGCUUGCUCUCAAGAAGUUAGCGGCGGACGGGUGAGUAACGCGUGGGUAACCUGCCCAUAAGACUGGGAUAACUCCGGGAAACCGGGGCUAAUACCGGAUAACAUUUUGAACUGCAUGGUUCGAAAUUGAAAGGCGGCUUCGGCUGUCACUUAUGGAUGGACCCGCGUCGCAUUAGCUAGUUGGUGAGGUAACGGCUCACCAAGGCAACGAUGCGUAGCCGACCUGGGAGGGUGAUCGGCCACACUGGGACUGAGACACGGCCCAGACUCCUACGGGAGGCAGCAGUAGGGAAUCUUCCGCAAUGGACGAAAGUCUGACGGAGCAACGCCGCGUGAGUGAUGAAGGCUUUCGGGUCGUAAAACUCUGUUGUUAGGGAAGAACAAGUGCUAGUUGAAUAAGCUGGCACCUUGACGGUACCUAACCAGAAAGCCACGGCUAACUACGUGCCAGCCGCCGCAGUAAGAC